rnacentral:tRNA from 1 species
GCGGAUGAGGCAGACUGGUGAUGCGCUUGCUUGCCAAGCAAGUUCAGGUGGGUUCGAUUCCCAUCAUCCGCU